AAACCCGACCCAGGGGAGACCUUGGGAGCCUUGCAGCAACUUGGUGUCAGGACCCUGAGUCGCCAGAGAGAAGCUGCCUUGUUGCACUGAGUGUUGAGGAGGGGGCGCUGGGUGGCUUCCCUGGGUGCCCUGGUUGGUCAGCAGCACAGGCCCUUGCAUUUUCUGGGCUGUUCCCGUGUUUCAUUCCUCACUUUCCCAGACAGUGUUUGAGCAAGACGUAUUUUACUAAAGGACCCGUGGAUUGAGGGGUCUCAUGACAUCACAUCAUAGAUGCCGUGGAUGGUUUGUUCCAGAUUCAGGCUUGUUUCCGGGGAGAAAUCCUGACAGAAAUUCAGAAGAACGGAGCUGCAUUCAGUUAGGACAUGAAGACAUGAAAUGCCCGUUUGUCUCAGGACCUUGUAGAAGAAUGAGCUGGUAGCAACUUUCCGAGUCCUGCUGGAACCAGAGACCAAGGUUUCCAUCCUGUCAAUGCUGAUCUUUUUGGACAAAGCAGCACAAGCCGAACCCAGAACUGGAUGUGGACAGCUGUGGAAAAACCUGGCCUGUGGUCUUCAGUCUUCAGGAAGAACUGAAGUUCUUCUGAAGUUCCCAUCAAGAACCCCAUGAAUAAGCUGUUGUUUAACCACAGUAUGAAUGAACCCAAUAGGAAGGAAGAAUCCA